CUGUCGACUGGUUCCUCCACUAUGGCUAAUUGGCUAUUUUCCCUCUCAGAAAAGGGGUACCCUCUUGCAGGGGAUUACUAUACAAAAAUACGGGGGUUUUGGGUCGGGGCGGUCGGGGCGAAAAAGUGAUUUUCUGCCCGGUAGGAGUGCCUCUUGCGGGUGUGUAACUCAUUUGUCGACAGAUGGCAGUCCAGGCGGAAAAUCACUCAUCCAGUUUCGAAACAGCUGACGAGACAGCUGACAUGCCCAUAGAAAUUCUACAGAGUUAGUUAUUUCUCCCCUAGAUGUCUUGAAAAUAUACAGGAAGUGUCAGCUGUCCCGUCAGCUGUUCCAUUUCGCGUGGCUUCGGACUGAGAAUGGCUGCUGAAACGAACGUCUCUCUUCUUGAAACUUUACCACCGAUUCCGUGUGUUUGGAGUUGCAUCUUGUGAAUUCAAUCAAUGCAGAGUUGUUCAAGGAGGAACAUGGCUUGGCUUGGCUUUGCUAGCACGUUUUUCAUCUCCGUUAGUGUGAUAUACCCAUUUUGUUUCAAAGGUGAUACGUAAAAAGAGUAGUUCUUAAUAAUCUUUUUCUCUAUCUAAAUCUCUUAGAUUCUUGGAGGUGUCAUCAGGUGAUGUUAGAAUUUAUUGUUAAUAGUUUAAGUGACUGAAAUCAUGCUUUCAGGUCUUUAGGAUGUACCUGAUGUACUGUGGUGGCAGCAAAAUCAUUCAAUGACUUGGUUUAAUCCAGGAUGUGGUUUUUUCUAUAGUGGUUUACAGUUUUAAUUUGCAGAGAUCCUGGAGGCACCUGAUGUGUUUCAUUGGCGUUUGAGUCACUCGGUGACAGAAGAGAAUGCCACUAAUGUUAUGUUGUCAGUGUAAAUACAGAUAUCCAGUAUCA